UUUUUCCUAAGAAUACACAUACUCCCACAAACAACAAAAACUAUCUCUCUCUCUCUUCUCUCAAGAUUAAAGAGUUUUUCUUCAUCAACUUCAUCCAAAACCUCAAGAACACAUAACAAUAAUCAACAAUUUCUUCAAGAUCCAAACUCAAGAAACUUCAUCGAUCUCUACUCCCUCCCUCUGCGGUUUGCCUUCGUGCAUUGCUUGAUACUGUCGGCCCGCUACUGGAGCCUCACCACUGCUGUGGUCCACUACUUCUCCCUCUGGAACCACCGGAAAUCCGACUCCUCUGCUUCUCCGUUCGCGUCGAUCUCCACGGCCAGCACCACUUCUCUUCCGAUUCGUUCUUCGAUUCGAUAA